UUAUGGCAUUUUGAAAGUUCAUGC
rnacentral:siRNA from 1 species